rnacentral:rRNA from 1 species
UACGUAGGGUGCAAGCGUUGUCCGGAAUUAUUGGGCGUAAAGAGCUUGUAGGCGGUUUGUCGCGUCUGCUGUGAAAUUUCGGGGCUCAACCCCGAACUUGCAGUGGGUACGGGCAGACUAGAGUGUGGUAGGGGAGACUGGAAUUCCUGGUGUAGCGGUGAAAUGCGCAGAUAUCAGGAGGAACACCGAUGGCGAAGGCAGGUCUCUGGGCCAUAACUGGCGCUGAGAAGCGAAAGCAUGGGGAGCGAACAGG